AUGAAGCCGCUGUGUAGGAUCUCUAAUGAGCCCGUUCAGCUGGUGGCGGACCUAAUACGGGAAGAGGACGGAGAAUGGAAUACAGAACUAAUCCAAAAUCUGUUCAUACAGGCGGAUGUCAAUGCCAUUCUGAAUAUCCCACGGCCUAGAGUGGAACAGCCAGAUUUCUGGGCGUGGGCACGGGAGAGAUCAGGGCUGUUCACAGUCCGGUCUGCUUACAGGUUUCUUAAAGAAAGGCACUGCAACGGCCUGGGUAUACCGAGCAGCUCUUCUGGCGACCAGGACACUUGGAAGAAACUUUGGAAACUGAAUGUGCAACCUAAAAUUCGAGUAUUCUGGUGGAGGGUGCUUAAGGGGUUCCUUCCAGCAAGGGCCGAGCUGUUUCGGAGACAUAUUGGUGAUGAUGCAACAUGCGGCAUGUGUGGGACAGGUGAGGAGACGUUGUUCCAUUCCUUAAUAACAUGCCAUCAGGCUAGGUUGUUUUGGGCAGAAACUUAUAGAUUCUUUGGAGUGAAACUUCCGAGGUUGCAUCCACUCACUUGGGCGAAGGACCUCCUCGAUACAGAUUUUGCAAGUAAAGAUGAGGCAUCUGUCAUUGUUUCUGUUAUGUGGGCAGUAUGGAGCAACAGAAAUAAGUAUAUGCAGGCCGAGAUUCAGUAUCAGCCUAUUCGGUCGAUGGAAAUUAUCCAGGAACACAUUAGAGCUUUGGAAAUUCCGAGCGAGAAGCAGGAGUCUCUGGUACAUAAAACUGGGUGGACUAAACCACUAGUUGGAACUAUAAAAAUAAACUCCGAUGCAGGUUUGGAUCUGGAGGGAGAAAGAGCAGGGACGGCUGUGGUCGCUAGGGAUCAUGAAGGGAAGUUCCUUUCAGGAAGAUUCUCAACAUACACUGGGCACACUGACCCAUAUGUAUGCGAGGCUCUAGGUUGCAGAGAUGCCCUGCUGUUGGCAAAGGAAAAAGGGUGGGAGCGGAUUCAGUUGGUUACUGCUUGCAAAAAUGUGGGAGAUGACUGGAAUGCCAGACGAGACCGCUCGAGCUGUGGCCCUGUCUUUCUCGAGAUGGCUUCGUAUCUCUCAUCUUUCCAGGGAUUUGAAGUAAGACAUUGUGGAAGAGAAGCAAACAAAACGGCACACUUAUUAGCUAAGCACUGUUUGUCUACUAGGGUGCUUAAUGUAACUUAUGAUGUAAUCCCUGAUUUCUUAAGUGCGGCGGUGCACUUGGACUAUGUACGGUCUAUGAAUGAAUAA
rnacentral:rRNA from 1 species